rnacentral:tRNA from 1 species
GGGAUAAUAGCUCAGUUGGGAGAGCAUAUCGUUCGCAACGAUAAGGUCGCGAGUUCGAGUCUCGUUUAUUCCACCA